UAAGUUAUUAAGGGCGCACGGUGGAUGCCUUGGCACUAGAAGCCGAUGAAGGACGUUACUAACGACGAUAUGCUUUGGGGAGCUGUAAGUAAGCUUUGAUCCAGAGAUUUCCGAAUGGGGAAACCCAGCAUGAGUUAUGUCAUGUUAUCGAUAUGUGAAUACAUAGCAUAUCAGAAGGCACACCCGGAGAACUGAAACAUCUUAGUACCCGGAGGAAGAGAAAGAAAAUUCGAUUCCCUUAGUAGCGGCGAGCGAAACGGGAAGAGCCCAAACCAACAAGCUUGCUUGUUGGGGUUGUAGGACACUCUAUACGGAGUUACAAAGGACGACAUUAGACGAAUCAUCUGGAAAGAUGAAUCAAAGAAGGUAAUAAUCCUGUAGUCGAAAAUGUUGUCUCUCUUGAGUGGAUCCUGAGUACGACGGAGCACGUGAAAUUCCGUCGGAAUCUGGGAGGACCAUCUCCUAAGGCUAAAUACUCUCUAGUGACCGAUAGUGAACCAGUACCGUGAGGGAAAGGUGAAAAGCACCCCGGAAGGGGAGUGAAAUAGAACCUGAAACCGUGUGCUUACAAGUAGUCAGAGCCCGUUAAUGGGUGAUGGCGUGCCUUUUGUAGAAUGAACCGGCGAGUUACGAUUUGAUGCAAGGUUAAGCAGUAAAUGUGGAGCCGUAGCGAAAGCGAGUCUGAAUAGGGCGUUUAGUAUUUGGUCGUAGACCCGAAACCAGGUGAUCUACCCUUGGUCAGGUUGAAGUUCAGGUAACACUGAAUGGAGGACCGAACCGACUUACGUUGAAAAGUGAGCGGAUGAACUGAGGGUAGCGGAGAAAUUCCAAUCGAACCUGGAGAUAGCUGGUUCUCUCCGAAAUAGCUUUAGGGCUAGCCUCAAGUGAUGAUUAUUGGAGGUAGAGCACUGUUUGGACGAGGGCCCCUCUCGGGUUACCGAAUUCAGACAAACUCCGAAUGCCAAUUAAUUUAACUUGGGAGUCAGAACAUGGGUGAUAAGGUCCGUGUUCGAAAGGGAAACAGCCCAGACCACCAGCUAAGGUCCCAAAAUAUAUGUUAAGUGGAAAAGGAUGUGGCGUUGCCCAGACAACUAGGAUGUUGGCUUAGAAGCAGCCAUCAUUUAAAGAGUGCGUAAUAGCUCACUAGUCGAGUGACACUGCGCCGAAAAUGUACCGGGGCUAAACAUAUUACCGAAGCUGUGGAUUGUCCUUUGGACAAUGGUAGGAGAGCGUUCUAAGGGCGUUGAAGCAUGAUCGUAAGGACAUGUGGAGCGCUUAGAAGUGAGAAUGCCGGUGUGAGUAGCGAAAGACGGGUGAGAAUCCCGUCCACCGAUUGACUAAGGUUUCCAGAGGAAGGCUCGUCCGCUCUGGGUUAGUCGGGUCCUAAGCUGAGGCCGACAGGCGUAGGCGAUGGAUAACAGGUUGAUAUUCCUGUACCACCUAUAAUCGUUUUAAUCGAUGGGGGACGCAGUAGGAUAGGCGAAGCGUGCGAUUGGAUUGCACGUCUAAGCAGUAAGGCUGAGUAUUAGGCAAAUCCGGUACUCGUUAAGGCUGAGCUGUGAUGGGGAGAAGACAUUGAGUCUUCGAGUCGUUGAUUUCACACUGCCGAGAAAAGCCUCUAGAUAGAAAAUAGGUGCCCGUACCGCAAACCGACACAGGUAGUCAAGAUGAGAAUUCUAAGGUGAGCGAGCGAACUCUCGUUAAGGAACUCGGCAAAAUGACCCCGUAACUUCGGGAGAAGGGGUGCUCUUUAGGGUUAACGCCCAGAAGAGCCGCAGUGAAUAGGCCCAAGCGACUGUUUAUCAAAAACACAGGUCUCUGCUAAACCGUAAGGUGAUGUAUAGGGGCUGACGCCUGCCCGGUGCUGGAAGGUUAAGAGGAGUGGUUAGCUUCUGCGAAGCUACGAAUCGAAGCCCCAGUAAACGGCGGCCGUAACUAUAACGGUCCUAAGGUAGCGAAAUUCCUUGUCGGGUAAGUUCCGACCCGCACGAAAGGCGUAACGAUUUGGGCACUGUCUCAACGAGAGACUCGGUGAAAUCAUAGUACCUGUGAAGAUGCAGGUUACCCGCGACAGGACGGAAAGACCCCGUGGAGCUUUACUGUAGCCUGAUAUUGAAAUUCGGCACAGCUUGUACAGGAUAGGUAGGAGCCUUUGAAACGUGAGCGCUAGCUUACGUGGAGGCGCUGGUGGGAUACUACCCUAGCUGUGUUGGCUUUCUAACCCGCACCACUUAUCGUGGUGGGAGACAGUGUCAAGCGGGCAGUUUGACUGGGGCGGUCGCCUCCUAAAAGGUAACGGAGGCGCUCAAAGGUUCCCUCAGAAUGGUUGGAAAUCAUUCAUAGAGUGCAAAGGCAUAAGGGAGCUUGACUGCGAGACCUACAAGUCGAGCAGGGUCGAAAGACGGACUUAGUGAUCCGGUGGUUCCGCAUGGAAGGGCCAUCGCUCAACGGAUAAAAGCUACCCCGGGGAUAACAGGCUUAUCUCCCCCAAGAGUUCACAUCGACGGGGAGGUUUGGCACCUCGAUGUCGGCUCAUCGCAUCCUGGGGCUGUAGUCGGUCCCAAGGGUUGGGCUGUUCGCCCAUUAAAGCGGUACGCGAGCUGGGUUCAGAACGUCGUGAGACAGUUCGGUCCCUAUCCGUCGUGGGCGUAGGAAAUUUGAGAGGAGCUGUCCUUAGUACGAGAGGACCGGGAUGGACAUACCUCUGGUGUACCAGUUGUCGUGCCAACGGCAUAGCUGGGUAGCUAUGUGUGGACGGGAUAAGUGCUGAAAGCAUCUAAGCAUGAAGCCCCCCUCAAGAUGAGAUUUCCCAACUUCGGUUAUAAGAUCCCUCAAAGAUGAUGAGGUUAAUAGGUUCGAGGUGGAAGCAUGGUGACAUGUGGAGCUGACGAAUACUAAUCGAUCGAAGACUUAAUCA
rnacentral:rRNA from 1 species